rnacentral:tRNA from 1 species
GCCUGGCUGGCUCAGUCGGUAGAGCAUGUGACUCUUGAUCUCGAGUCAUGAGGUCAAGCCCCACGUUAGGCC